UGUCUGUCGAAAGCAGCAAAAAGCAAGUAUGGGUACUUCUCGGGGAACCUGCUGCACCCCCUCAAAGACGGAUGACUCCACCCCAGCUCCUACUCCACCGGGAGAGGCAACAAAAGCCAAGGACAUGCCUGUGACACGUGAGACUGGGGACCCCAGCAACCUUAACAGAUAAAAAGUUGCAGAACAGAGAAUCUCUUUUGCCUUGUUGGAGGUUUAUACGAACACUGUAGCCAGACCUACCUGGACAGCUGCGAGAACAAAGGAUUCCUUCACCACGAAGUUUGCAGCAACCAAUCACACCCCCUCCCUUUUUAGUAUAAAAGAGGACUGAAUUCUAACUCAGGGAAGAGGGUUCUUCGAGACACUAGUCGACCAUCUUCUCGGUCUGCUGACUUUCCGAAUGAGGUUGCUGUUCCUUGCCCCAGCAACUCGUCUCUCUAUUUAUUGGCCUGUCGUGCAGCAGGCAGUAUGAGCUUGCACUCAGUAACGGCCUCACUGGGAGGCGACUGGAGGGAAGGAGGGAUAUAAAAGGGCCUCAAGGAAUUGUUUGGGGAUGACAGUGUGUUCAGUAUCUUGACUGUGGUGGCAUUUCACAGAUGUACACGUGUCAAAAUUCAUCAAACUGUACACUUUAAAUGUGUCCAGUCUUGUCAUUUAUAUCUCCAUAAAGCUGUUAAAAAUUACCACAGAGUGUGGUGGUAAUUUUUAUUACAUUUGCAUGUAGAUAGACAGAAGAAAGACUGGAAGGGUGUCCCCCCAGAUGUUAAUGGUGCUUAGUUUGGGGUUGUGGGAUUAGAGAGAAUUUUAAUUUUCCUCUUUGUGUUUUUCUACACAUUAAAAAAUUUCCAAAAUU